CCUACGGGUGGCAGCAGUGAGGAAUAUUGGUCAAUGGACGCAAGUCUGAACCAGCCAUGCCGCGUGCAGGAAGACGGCUCUAUGAGUUGUAAACUGCUUUUGUACGAGGGUAAACGCAGAUACGCGUAUCUGUCUGAAAGUAUCGUACGAAUAAGGAUCGGCUAACUCCGUGCCAGCAGCCGCGGUAAUACGGAGGAUUCAAGCGUUAUCCGGAUUUAUUGGGUUUAAAGGGUGCGUAGGCGGUCGGAUAAGUUAGAGGUGAAAUCCCGAGGCUCAACUUCGGAAUUGCCUCUGAUACUGUUCGGCUAGAGAGUAGGUGCGGUAGGCGGAAUGUAUGGUGUAGCGGUGGAAUGCUUAGAGAUCAUACAGAACACCGAUUGCGAAGGCAGCUUGCCAGGCUACUUCUGACGUUGAGGCACGAAAGCGUGGGGAGCAAACAGGAUUAGAUACCCUUGUAGUC
rnacentral:rRNA from 1 species